rnacentral:rRNA from 1 species
AGAGUUUGAUCCUGGCUCAGGAUGAACGCUAGCGGGAGGCCUAACACAUGCAAGUCGAACGGGAUUGAGAGCUUGCUCUCAUGAGAGUGGCGCACGGGUGAGUAACGCGUAUGCAACCUACCUAUAACUGAGGGAUAGCCCAUAGAAAUGUGGAUUAAUACCUCAUAGUUCUUUUGUUCCGCAUGGGAUGAAAGAUAAAGCUCCGGCGGUUAUAGAUGGGCAUGCGUGACAUUAGCUAGUUGGUAAGGUAACGGCUUACCAAGGCUACGAUGUCUAGGGGUUCUGAGAGGAUGAUCCCCCACACUGGUACUGAGACACGGACCAGACUCCUACGGGAGGCAGCUGUGAGGGGUUUUGGUCAAUGGGCGCAAGCCUGAACCAGCCAUCCCGCGUGCAGGAUGAAGGCCCUAUGGGUCGUAAACU